GACGAACGCUGGCGGCGUGCCUAACACAUGCAAGUCGAACGGAGUAGAGACUUCGGUUUUUACUUAGUGGCGAACGGGUGAGUAACGCGUGAGAAACCUGCCUCUCAGUGGGGGACAACAGUUGGAAACGACUGCUAAUACCGCAUAACACUUUAGUACCGCAUGGUGCAGAAGUCAAAGCUUUAUGUGCUGAGAGAUGGUCUCGCGUCUGAUUAGCUAGUUGGUGGGGUAACGGCCCACCAAGGCGACGAUCAGUAGCCGGUCUGAGAGGAUGAACGGCCACAUUGGGACUGAGAUACGGCCCAGACUCCUACGGGAGGCAGCAGUGGGGAAUAUUGGGCAAUGGACGCAAGUCUGACCCAGCAACGCCGCGUGAAGGAAGAAGGCUUUCGGGUUGUAAACUUCUUUAAGGGGGAAGAGCAGAAGACGGUACCCCUUGAAUAAGCCACGGCUAACUACGUG
rnacentral:rRNA from 1 species